rnacentral:sRNA from 1 species
GUAUCCUGCGCUAGGAGUCCGAUCCUCCUCGAGGGA